AGCAGUCGCCACGGUAAUACGUAGGGGGCAAGCGUUAUCCGGAAUUACUGGGUGUAAAGGGAGCGUAGACGGUUAAACAAGUCUGAAGUGAAAUGCCGGGGCUCAACCCCGGAGCUGCUUUGGGAACUGUAGAACUGGAGUGUCGGAGGGGUAAGCGGAAUUCCCAGUGCAGCGGUGAAAUGCGUAGAUAUUGGGAGGAACACCGGCGGCGAAGGCGGCUUACUGGACGACAACUGACGUUGAGGCUCGAAGGCGUGGGUAGCAAACAGGAUUAGAUACCCCUGUAGUCCCUGUCUCUUAUAC
rnacentral:rRNA from 1 species